UACGUAGGGAGCAAGCGUUGUCCGGAAUCAUUGGGCGUAAAGCGCACGUAGGCGGCUUGUUAAGUCAGGGGUGAAAUCCUGGAGCUCAACUCCAGAACUGCCUUUGAUACUGGCGAGCUUGAGUUCGGGAGAGGUGAGUGGAACUGCGAGUGUAGAGGUGAAAUUCGUAGAUAUUCGCAAGAACACCAGUGGCGAAGGCGGCUCACUGGCCCGAUACUGACGCUGAGGUGCGAAAGCGUGGGGAGCAAACAGG
rnacentral:rRNA from 1 species